rnacentral:rRNA from 1 species
CCGAUAGCGCAUAGUACUGUGAAGGAAAGGUGAAAAGGACCCCGGGAGGGGAGUGAAAGAGAACCUGAAACCCUGUGUCUACAAGCUGUGGAAGCACUUUAUAUGUGCGACCGCGUACUUUUUGUAGAACGGUCCGGCGAGUUACGCUUACUGGCAAGGUUAAGCACUUCAGGUGUGGAGCCGUAGGGAAACCAAGUCUUAAGAGGGCCUUAAGUCAGUAGGAGUAGACCCGAAACCGGGUGAUCUAUCCAUGUCCAGGUUGAAGCUGCCGUAAGAGGUAGUGGAGGACCGAACCCACAUCCGUUGAAAAGGGUGGGGAUGAGGUGUGGAUAGGGGAGAAAUUCCAAUCGAACCCGGAGAUAGCUGGUUCUCCUCGAAAUAGCUUUAGGGCUAGCCUCGAUACAGAUUUGCGGAGGUAGAGCACUGAAUUUCCUAGGGGGCGUCAAAGCCUACCGAAGAAUAUCAAACUCCGAAUGCCGCGUAAUCGAUUAUCGGGAGUCAGACUGCACGAGAUAAGUUGGGCGGUCAAAAGGGAAAGAGCCCAGACCUUCAGUUAAGGUCCCCAAGUGCGCGUUAAGUGGAAAAGGAUGUGGGAUUUCGAAGACAACCAGGAUGUUGGCUCAGAAGCAGCCAUCCAUUCAAAGAGUGCGUAAUAGCUCACUGGUCGAGAGGUCCUGCGCCGAAAAUGUCCGGGGCUGAAACGCGCCACCGAAACUAAGGAACCGAAAGGUUGGUAGAGGAGCAUUGCAUGCGGGAAGAAGCAGUACCGUAAGGAGCUGUGGACUGCAUGGAAGAGAGAAUGCCGGAAUGAGUAGCGAGAAUAAGGUGAGAAUCCUUAUGGCCGAAUAUCCAAGGUUUCCAGAGUAAAGCUGAUCUGCUCUGGGUAAGUCGGGGCCUAAGGCGAGGACGAGAGUCGUAGCCGAUGGACAACAGGUGGAGAUUCCUGUACUGCGGUAUGACAGAACUGUGGGGACACGUAAGGAAAGCGGAAGCCGGGAAUGGAAAGCCCGGUGCAAGCGGGGUACCAGCCACUUUGGCAAAUCCGGGUGGCAAUGGGAAGCCGUGAUGCGGAGCGAAAUAAAGUAGCGAAGUCCGUGAGCCAUGCGUCAAGAAAAGCCGCUAUUGUUUAUACCGUACCCGUACCGUAAACCGACACAGGUGGAUGAGGAGAGAAUCCUAAGGCCGGCGGAAGAAGCAUUGUCAAGGAACUCGGCAAAAUGGCCCCGUAACUUAGGGAUAAGGGGUGCCUGGGAAACCAGGCCGCAGAGAAUAGGCUCAAGCAACUGUUUAGCAAAAACACAGGUCUAUGCGAAACCGAAAGGUGAGGUAUAUGGGCUGACGCCUGCCCGGUGCUGGAAGGUUAAGAGGAGAGGUUAGCGGUAACGCGAAGCUUUGAAUUUAAGCCCCAGUAAACGGCGGCCGUAACUAUAACGGUCCUAAGGUAGCGAAAUUCCUUGUCGGGUAAGUUCCGACCCGCACGAAAGGCGUAAUGAUUUGAGCGCUGUCUCGACAAUGCAUCCGGUGAAAUUGAAGUACCAGUGAAGAUGCUGGUUACCUGCGCCAGGACGGAAAGACCCCAUGGAGCUUUACUCCAGUCUGGUACUGGGACUCGGUAUUGCAUGUACAGGAUAGGUGGGAGGCUAGGAGAUGGUAACGCCAGUUGCCAUGGAGCCGCUGUUGGGAUACCACCCUUGCAGUAUUGGGUUUCUAACCAGCCGCCGUGACCCGGCGGUGGGACAAUGCCAGACGGGGAGUUUGACUGGGGCGGUCGCCUCCGAAAGGGUAUCGGAGGCGCCCAAAGGUUCCCUCAGAAUGGACGGAAACCAUUCGAAGAGUGCAAAGGCAGAAGGGAGCUUGACUGCGACACCGACGGGUGGAGCAGGUACGAAAGUAGGGCUUAGUGAUCCGGUGGUAUUAAGUGGGAAUGCCAUCGCUCAACGGAUAAAAGCUACCCUGGGGAUAACAGGCUUAUCACUCCCAAGAGUUCACAUCGACGGAGUGGUUUGGCACCUCGAUGUCGGCUCAUCGCAUCCUGGGGCUGUAGUAGGUCCCAAGGGUUGGGCUGUUCGCCCAUUAAAGCGGUACGCGAGCUGGGUUCAGAACGUCGUGAGACAGUUCGGUCCCUAUCCGGCGUGGGCG